GAAAAGCUCGUCAAUGCCUAAAGCACGAAGACUUUGAAGAAUCUGGAAUGUUGGAGAUGAAUGGAGAAUAUGAUGAUAACCCAACUGUUUCAAUUCUAACUCUCUCAACACAGCAAGAAGUCACCGAAAAUGCUGAAAGAUAAUAAAAGAGAUAGAGGAGGAAAAACCACCAUUUAAUGUGAACAAAUUUUUAGAAGAACAAAAGGAAAAAGCGGGCAAGUGAGUACCGCUCUGCUGUACAUUAGGUGCCGUAUGGAUCAUUAUUAUAUAUUAUAGGAGUGUUAAAUUUGAAUCCAAUGAUAGUUAUCAUUGUAUACGAAAAACGAUUCUGAACGAAGAUGAUUUGUCAGCCUAGGAUAUAAUUUCUAGUGGUUGGUGAAAAAGGUGGUUUAUGUUUUAAUGGCCUGAAUACAACAAAAUUUAAGUUCUUUUAUAAUAAUUGGCCAAAAAAAUUUUAUCGACACUUCAAAAAAAAAUUUUCAGAAAAGUUGAAAAUUUCAGUUGUCUAUUAAUAGCUCAAAAAAACUCAAAAUAUUUUGAAAAUUAAAUCAUGUAAAGAAAAUGCCAAUCUAAAUAACUGGUAAAAUUUUCAAGUAUCUACGACUUAUACUUUUUGAAUAAUAACAAAUAUCAAAAAUCGUUUGAGGCUAAACCGUUAUUUAACGCGGUUUUGUAAAAAUUUAAAUUUCAAACACUCAUAAAAAUUUUUUGUCUGAAUCCGGUAGAGUUUUUUUUACAGAUAUUUGAAGAAAAAUGUAUGGAGAACCUUGUACCAAAUUUUCAAAACUUAGUUAUAAAAGAAAAAAAUUUUAUGAUUUUUCAACUUCAAAAUUACUUGCAAAUUUUAGCGUUUUCGACAGAUUUCGUAAAAAUUUGAACUAUAAACGCUUAUAAAAAAAAAUUGUGACUAACGAUUUUUAAUUUUUUUUAACUACAAUAAAAACAACUCAUAAGGAACCUUGUAUUAAAUUUUCAAAACUUUUUGGUCAUCCAAAAAUUUUUUAUCGACACUUAAAAAAAAAUUUCUCAAAAAAAACGAAAAUUUCAGUGAUCUAUAAAUAACUCAAAAAAAGUCAAAAUUUUUUGAAAAUUUAACUAUAUACAGAUACUACUGACAUUAACAUUUGGUAAAAAUUUCAAGUAUUUUCAGUGAUUAGUUUUUGAAUUACAACAAUAAAAAAAAAUCGAUUUGGUCGAAAACUGGUUUUGCGUAAAAAUUCCCGUUUUUCCGUCAUUUUUUUUUUUGUUUUUCUCGAUUUUUUUGAAAACUGUUGGAAAAUGUUAACUUUUUACCUCUAUAAUGCACCAAGGAUAUUCACUUUUACAUCGGAAACCACCCCCAUAGUUUGAAAUUGGAGCAUUAUUUCGACUAGUUAUGCUGUACACAGACACAAAAAAAAAACAUACAUCAUUGUAAAAUCAAUACAUUCUUCACUCCGUUCAGAAUCUAAUAUUAUAUUUAUAAUAACGAUCGAAAUGUAAUUGAAGAAAUUAUGGAACAUCUAUUAAAUGAAAAUAAAAAUCUUUGUUGCGCUAUGCAAAAAUUUAAAAAAAGCAUAAAAGAUAUUCCUAAUGAUAAUUAUAAUGAUUAUGAAAACGAAGAAAUUGACAUAGAACAAAAAUUCAUAAACUCAGACAUUGAUUCACUGUUUACAGUUAAAAAACGUAAAUUCGAUGUAAGUCAUACAGUAGAAAUUACUUAAUUAAUAUGGUCAAAAUUCGAAAAUAAUAUUCUUAAGGGGAUUGGAAGCGUUGAUUUUCUGUCUUUGUCUUACACACGUGGAAUAUAGGAAAAAUAGCUAUACGCGCCUGACAAAAAUUAAGGUAGGUACUUCUAGUUGUUCGAUUUAAAAUAUGUAAAGAUAAUUGAAUUGGCAUACAAGUUUACUUUGCAUCAGUUGAAGUAUAUUUUUAAUAUUUUCAAUAUAUAUUUAAUAAUAAAAAUUGACAAAUUUAUUAAAUUUAAAAUAUUUAUUCUCAUCAAAAUAUUUAUUUUAAACAAUAAAACAAUCGAUAAAGUGCUUCGACCGAUGCAAAGUAAACUUGUAUACCAAUUCAAUCAUCUUUACCAUUUGAAUAUGCCGUAGUCACGAUAGACAUAGGUAGCUUAUAAUUAUAAAUAAUAAUGAAAUAUGAAAUAGAUCUUACCUUUUUAUUCACAUCGGCCAUAGUAUUCGAAAAUGUAAUUGUUUAUGCGAUUAUUUAAUCGUAAUAACUAAGAACUAUAGGUAAUGACGAUUCAAAACACUUUAAAGUUUAAAUAAAACAAUUAAACAAAUCGACGUCGUAGUUUACAGUUUUAUUCGCACCAGUUAAGACUAACCACAGUUUAACGUAAUAAAAUAUAAAACAAAUAUUAAGUAAUUAGGUAAAAUGAUGGUGGAGACAGCGAAAAACCAAGACUGCGAGAGUCAGAGUGGCAACUGGCAAGACCCAUAGACAACACUAUUAAAAAUGGCGAGACCGCGGACUAUACAUAGAGUAAUACUAUAUGUAUAGUAUAUUACUCUAUGGGACUAUAGGAUAGCAUCACGAACUACUACUACUAUGUAGUAGUUCGUGGAUAGCAUCAUUGAAUAUAAAGUCAAUGGAUAGCAUGCAAUGACACUAUGACAAGUAUGACAGAAUAAUAUGACGAUGCCGCCCGCCAGUCACUGAGAGCCGCUGUAUUCCAUGAAUUACGUGUGUACUAAUAUUUAUUUUUAGAUAUAAAGGUCCCCACACACUGCAGCGGUGGCGGUAAAAUUCUAUUGUCUCGGCGGUGGCGGUAAAAUUGUGUCCAGACUUAUCUUAACGCUACCGCCACCGCCACCGCUAUCGCUGCAGUGUGUGGGCACCUUAAUACGAUCAAAAAUUACCCAUCGUUAUCGGAUCGGCUGGAACUCGUGUUUUUCUGAAAUAUUCCCGUGACAAUAUAGGGAAGCCGGAAGCAUUCAAGCAUUAUACAUAUUAUACUAAGCAACGUUUUUAUAAAACCAUAAAUUUAGGUCUGCGGGGAAUGUUUCAAUGUAAUGUUUACAUUGGAACUUAAAAUGUAUAGAACUCAUGUUUUUCUGGAACAUUACAAAUACUUUCAGUGAAUGUACCAUUCUUAUGUUAAAAUUGGAACUUAAAAUGUAUAUUCCUGUAAUGUUUGUAACAGUUUUUUGCACGGUAGGUAUGUAUCUUGUACCUAUGUAAAUGAUACUGAUAUUUUUAAAUUAAAAUACGUCAUAUUCUUAUAUAAUAUACAUGUAACCUGUUCAGUGUUCACUGUUCAAUAUUAAAGUUACUAUUUAAUGUAGUUAUUAGUUGAUAGUAUUCGAUAUUGUCCUGGAUAGGGUAAUAAAAGGCACACUCAUCACUCAUCAUCAGUACCAUGGCGUCGCGUCGGUGACAAAAUUGAUCAAUAUCGCGAUACAACUUAUAAUAUACGACAACUAAUUGCCACAUUAGUAAUUAGUUCUAGUAUCAAAUUGUUAAAUGUUUUUAUAUGUUUCAAUAAAAUUAAUAUUAUUCUGCUUAUUUUUUUUUUUACUUCAAAUUAAUAACUAGCGACUAGCCAAAACAAUACUUACAAGUAAAUUGAGUUUAUAUAGUGAAGU